CUGGUUUCGCCCGAAGUGCGUGCGCCAACCGCAAGGAGGCAGCUGACCACGGUGGGAUCAGCGACUGGGGUGAAGUCGUAACAAGGUAGCCGUAGGUGAACCUGCAGAAGGAUCA
rnacentral:rRNA from 1 species